rnacentral:lncRNA from 1 species
AUCAUAAGAAUCUUCUUCUUCUAGUCUUCUUCUUCUAACUUUCUUCUUUCUCAUUUUACAGAUUUGCUUAAGAUCACGGAAGCUUGGGUUGAUGGAGUACUUGUAUUUAGUUUUUGUUAUGACCUUGUGAAACUUGCUACCUAUGGAUGAAACUGUGUAAUAUUGAUGAAGCUAUGUAUAUGUACGGAUGAAACUAUGUAUAUGUACGGAUGAAACUUGCUACUAUUGGUAACAUGUGUUGGAU